UGUGAUCUGCAUGGAGGUUUGUUUAAGACAAAUCGCAUGCACGAAUGAAAAAGAAAGAAAACGCCGGUUGUCAAAGACUGUUAGUUGGAUGGACGGUUUCGUCUUAAUGGUAUCAAGAGAUUCAGUGAACCUAGACAGUUUGGUCACUACCAGAAAUUGGAGAUUUCGUGAGGGAAGAGUUUCUCGUUAGAGUUAAAAACACAUUCUCAUGAAACUUAUCUUUCUCACGAGGGUGAUGCAAAUUAAAUCCUGCCAGGAAAACCUAUUUUCAUGAGAGUACUCCACUGAUCAUCAUGAAAUAUUUUUCGUAAUGAUAGCUCUCACAAAACACCAGUCACUACAUUUGCAAACCUGGUGAGGGCGUGAUUGUGAUAAGGGUGCCCGUCACGAACUCCCGCCAUGAAAAAUAAUUCGUGAGGGUGAACUCUCAUGAAAAUGGUAUUUUUGUAUGUUUAAUACAGUGAGAGUUAAUGCGAGACUGUGUGACAUGUUUUGCACUGCCACGAAAUCUCUAUUUUCUGGUAGCGGGUUAUAUAUAUGCUCGUGCCUGAUGUUUUGAGAAACACUCGGGUCAAUUCAUAAUUCAGGCUUUAGUCUCCUGGGUGAAAAGUUUUUAAGCAUUAUAGUACUUUCAUUUAUAUUUGAAAACUAUUGUCUAACCAUGGGUUACUAAGCUCAAAAGAUUUGUCUCGUAAAUUACAGGUAAACUGUACAAUUAGUUAUUUUUUAUCUGUAUUUAAUGCUAAGAUUCGAUGUAAUAAAAAAUUUUGAAAAGUUUUUAGAUUUUGGGUGGAACUAAACCAGGGCACGUAUCCAUGGGCUGUUUUUUUUUUUUUUGAUAUUUUGAUCAUGUAAUACCCGAUUUUAAGGACAAAACCAGAUAUGCACCAUAUGUGAGUUUUAAAAGCCAAAUCUCACAUAUAGCUACAAAUAAGGGGUAAUAUCAAAAGACAAUGCAUAAAUAUAUAACGUACUUAAUAUAAAAGGAAUAACCUUCAGUAUCAAACAGCGGAUAGACAACUCCAAACUUCGGGUAUUAACUCCUCUCCACAGGAUCAAACUGACUGGUUGAUCACAAGCCCAAAACUUCUCCUGAGGUGUGGGGGAAAUUGCAAGAGUGAGCACAUAUCGUACUCAACAAGUAUAACCAGGGGUUCAUGAGGCUCAAAUAGCUGACACUGGUUUGACUGCAAUUAGCUUUUAAUAGUGGAUAGCAUGUUCAUAAUUAAUGAGCAAUUGUCAAGGUAACAUAAAUAAUCCAUUAAUCCCAUGAUCAAGUGUAAGCAUAAUUAAUCUCAUAGCAU
rnacentral:lncRNA from 1 species